UCACAUUUCCUGGUUCAGAUGUGCUCUGCUGGCUCAUGUGGCCUCUGGUUCUCUGAUUCCGCUUGGCUGGCUCCUGAGGUGUUCACCUCCUUCUCCAUGCCCCAGAACCCAUAGGUUAAGAGUUACUCCAAGCUUACACCACAGUCUCAGAGAACAUGACCAAGACGGGUCCACUCUGCCUUGUGCACUCCAAAGGAACAGGCAACUUGUUGGCAGAAGAGUUCCUCUCAGUUCCUAGGAGAAAGCAAGUUGACCAACCUAGUGACCAUGAAGCACGCCUGAGAGGAGUGAAAACAAGAAGAUACUCGCUCCCUGCCUAUGCUAACUAGUGCUUUUUGCAGUUGUAGGUAUGGAAGGAGAGAGUGCAAGUGUAAGAGAUUAUUUAGUUGCAUUUCAGGAUAUUUCUUAGUCUCCCUCUUAUUCUCCUAAAAUGAUUUAUUACUGUUUUUUGACCUUUGUUUUACAUAACAUGAAAAUCCUUUCUCCAAAAUAUUGACUUCCUAUGGAAUUACAAGACUCUGAAAUUUUAAAAAGAAGAAAUCUGAAUCCAUCACUAAAAUGUCAGCCUCAUCCAGAAUGCAAGUUGUAUGAGUGUAGGGUUCUGCAUGUUCUGUUCAUCAUUCUAGUCCCAGCAUGUAGAACAGUACCUGAUCUGUUCUCAAUGAUAUUGAUUGAAUUAAUAAAUUCAGACAUUGUGUAAAGAAUCCUUUCCUUUUUUUUUUAAGUUACAGAGCUGUGACAAAUAUUCCUCUUAAUUCCCCAUGCAACCGUGC
rnacentral:lncRNA from 10 species